UACGUAGGGUGCAAGCGUUAUCCGGAAUUAUUGGGCGUAAAGAGCUCGUAGGCGGUUUGUCGCGUCUGCUGUGAAAACUGGAGGCUCAACCUCCAGCCUGCAGUGGGUACGGGCAGACUAGAGUGCGGUAGGGGAGAUUGGAAUUCCUGGUGUAGCGGUGGAAUGCGCAGAUAUCAGGAGGAACACCGAUGGCGAAGGCAGAUCUCUGGGCCGUAACUGACGCUGAGGAGCGAAAGCAUGGGGAGCGAACGGG
rnacentral:rRNA from 1 species